CGGGAAUUUUGGGCAAUGGGCGAAAGCCUGACCCAGCAACGCCGCGUGAGGGAUGAAGUAUUUCGGUAUGUAAACCUCGAAAGAAUGGGAAGAAUAAAUGACGGUACCAUUUAUAAGCUCCGGCUAACUACGUGCCAGCAGCCGCGGUAAUACGUAGGGAGCAAGCGUUGUUCGGAUUUACUGGGCGUAAAGGGCGCGUAGGCGGCGCGGUAAGUCACUUGUGAAAUCUCUGAGCUUAACUCAGAACGGCCAAGUGAUACUGCUGUGCUAGAGUGCGGAAGAGGCAACCGGAAUUCUUGGUGUAGCGGUGAAAUGCGUAGAUACCAAGAGGAACACCAGAGGCGAAGGCGGGUUGCUGGGCCGACACUGACGCUGAUGCGCGAAAGCCAGGGGAGCAAACG
rnacentral:rRNA from 1 species